GCGCCCGUAGAGGAGUCUGGCCGUCCUCACCGCCCUGUCAAGGCGGAAAUCGCGGGAUCGAAGCCCGUCGGGCGCG
rnacentral:tRNA from 2 species